AGAGUUUGAUCCUGGCUCAGGAUGAACGCUGGCGGCGUGCCUAAUACAUGCAAGUCGAACGCACCGCUUCGGUGGUGAGUGGCGAACGGGUGAGUAAUACAUAAGUAACCUGGCCUUUCGAGGGGGAUAACUAUUGGAAACGAUAGCUAAGACCGCAUAGGCAUAAUUCUCGCAUGAGAGUUAUGUUAAAUAUCCCAAGGGAUAGCGAGAGGAUGGACUUAUGGCGCAUUAGCUAGUUGGUGAGGGUAACGGCCCACCAAGGCGACGAUGCGUAGCCGACCUGAGAGGGUGGACGGCCACACUGGGACUGAGACACGGCCCAGACUCCUACGGGAGGCAGCAGUAGGGAAUUUUCGGCAAUGGGCGAAAGCCUGACCCAGCAACGCCGCGUGAGGGAGGAAGUAUUUCGGUAUGUAAACCUCUGUUAUAAAGGAAGAACGGCGCAUGUAGGGAAUGACAUGCGAGUGACGGUACUUUAUGAGAAAGCCACGGCUAACUACGUGCCAGCAGCCGCGGUAAUACGUAGGUGGCGAGCGUUAUCCGGAAUCAUUGGGCGUAAAGAGGGAGCAGGCGGCAACUAGGGUCUGCGGUAAAAGACCGAAGCUAAACUUCGGUAAGCCGUGGAAACCGAGGAGCUAGAGUGCAGUAGAGGAUCGUGGAAUUCCAUGUGUAGCGGUGAAAUGCGUAGAUAUACGGAGGAACACCAGUGGCGAAGGCGACGAUCUGGGCUGCAACUGACGCUCAGUCCCGAAAGCGUGGGGAGCAAAUAGGAUUAGAUACCCUAGUAGUCCACGCCGUAAACG
rnacentral:rRNA from 1 species